rnacentral:rRNA from 1 species
ACAUUUCUAGCUUGCUAGAAGAUGACGAGUGGCGGACGGGUGAGUAAUGCUUGGGAACUUGCCUUUGCGAGGGGGAUAACAGUUGGAAACGGCUGCUAAUACCGCAUAAUGUCUUCGGACCAAACGGGGCUUCGGCUCCGGCGCAAAGAGAGGCCCAAGUGAGAUUAGCUAGUUGGUAAGGUAACGGCUUACCAAGGCGACGAUCUCUAGCUGUUCUGAGAGGAAGAUCAGCCACACUGGGACUGAGACACGGCCCAGACUCCUACGGGAGGCAGCAGUGGGGAAUAUUGCACAAUGGGGGAAACCCUGAUGCAGCCAUGCCGCGUGUGUGAAGAAGGCCUUCGGGUUGUAAAGCACUUUCAGUUGUGAGGAAAAGUUAGUAGUUAAUACCUGCUAGCCGUGACGUUAACAACAGAAGAAGCACCGGCUAACUCCGUGCCAGCAGCCGCGGUAAUACGGAGGGUGCGAGCGUUAAUCGGAAUUACUGGGCGUAAAGCGCACGCAGGCGGUUUGUUAAGCUAGAUGUGAAAGCCCCGGGCUCAACCUGGGAUGGUCAUUUAGAACUGGCAGACUAGAGUCUUGGAGAGGGGAGUGGAAUUCCAGGUGUAGCGGUGAAAUGCGUAGAUAUCUGGAGGAACAUCAGUGGCGAAAGCGACUCCCUGGCCAAAGACUGACGCUCAUGUGCGAAAGUGUGGGUAGCGAACAGGAUUAGAUACCCUGGUAGUCCACA